CAACCUCUUCCCUCUGUCGCUGCAUCUCUCUCCCCACACCUCGAUAAAGAGUUGCGCUCCUGCCUGGCGCUCGGCAGCUGCGAGUGAACCGUUGGAGGAUCAGCAUCGAGAGAGCGCGUCCUUAUUUUGUAGGGCUUCCCCCGCACUCUGGAAAACGCUAACCCUGAGUGCAGACAAUAUAAGCUUCCUCAGUCAGCUGUGUUUCCAUAACAAGCCAAAGGACAACACGACGCGAUCGCUGAGAGGCGCAUCGCCUGACACAGCAGUGCACUGGAUACUAGUAAUCAGCAGCGUGCUACAGCAUCCUCGCGACGAGUCGACAUGCCCCAGCAACAGCAGCACAGCCCAGAGGUGGUGGUGCGGUACGGAUUGGGCUCGUUCGUGCCCGCUAGCGACCUGCGCCCCGCACCGGGCGAUCUGAUCGAGAUCGACCGUACGCUGUACGCUCACUGGGCGCUCUACGUCGGCAACGGUGACGUCGUGCACGUGGUGGGCCGCAACGAAGAGGACAUCCCCACGGACUUUGCGUACGUGCACCUGAGCAAGCUGACCGAUGUCGCCGGCUAUAGCGGGGUGCGCGUCAACAACAAGGAAGUGCGCGCCAAGGAGCGCUGCUUGGUGCCUUCGUCGGCGGCCGAAACGGUGGAGCGGGCCUACGCCAUGCUCGACCGGGAAGUGGAGUUCAACUUCCUCACCCGGAACGGGGAGUACUACGCAACGCAGUGGAAGUUCGGCAUCGGAUGGAGCGACCAGGCCACCGUGACGCUGAGCGUGAUGAAGCCUUUGGCGAAGAACCUCCAAGUGGGGCACACGACCUUCCUGGCGGGACUGCAGGCCGUCUUCGGAACGCCGACCACGGCGGCCAUUGCCAGGAUAGCGCCAAGCUCGCCGAGGACGCCACAGAAGAACGCCCCGACGAGCGUCGCCUAAGCUGGCUGUGACAUCGAAGCAGCGUACGCGAGGACUUGGCUGCUUCGCUUCCUCUUCAAACUGCGCGCCGCGUACGGACGGUCAUUUCUCGCCUGCGCGGUGUGAACGACGCGUAGAGACUGUGUGUACAAAGUCAAGCCGGGUUGUUAGUAUACCUCGAAUAACCGUUGUUGGACGAGGGGUAUUCGCGCAGAGAGAGAUGCCGCGUCCCGGUCCGAUCUCAGCGGGGUGUUUGUUUCCGCCACCGAUGGUCUGUGGACGCGGAUGCCUUCCCCUGAAGGCAUAAGCAAGGAAUGUGUAUGUAUUGUCGAGAAUGGCAAACGACCACCUUUCUUGUAUGUGUUGCCCUGUUGGCGACGGUUGUUGGCAGUCAGAUUUGUGAUUCAGGGUACGCGAAGUUGAACGAACAAGCGCCUUUUGUUUUUUUACAAUAUUUUUUCUACCGUUCCUUUUUGGAAAAGUAAGCUUUGUACUUUUUUUUGUAGGUUACGUUUACUGCCUCGGCCAAGUUACGCUGGCGUUCUCGCUUGAAGUGUAGUCCGGACCUUCAGACUUUGCACAAAGUUUCAUAUACAUAGGCUUUAAGAAGUUUCGGCAGCUGUUUCAAUUCCGCUCGUAAGUUAUACCGCUUGACACUGCCAGAGGCAGAAACUAGAUGCGCGAGGUUAGGACGAGACCAAGAAAGACUUGAAGAGAGUUGUUGUCUUCCUAGUCAUUACUUCCUUUGUGCAAAGCAUGAAGUUCCCACCCUUUUACGGUACCAAAACACAUGGUUACCGUACGUUGUUUUACAAGACGGUGACAAUUUCUUUGUCUUUCUUUUAAUGCUCGGAAUUUUUUUUCUUACACAAUUAUUAUAUACCUGUAUGUCCGUCUCAAUAUGUGUUGAGCACGGAUAGAAAACCGGCAAAAAAGAAUUCGACUCCGUGAGUGCUCUUGCUCAAGGAAGAAAGUGCAUUGUUGCCAACUGCCUUGAUUUAGUUUCUGCCAUAGGCAUUUCCAUUUCUCAUAUUCAUGUGCUUCAUUCGGCGGCAUUCGUGACGCCGUUCUAUCACUGUAAAUAUAUCAUGCCUGUUAGUGCUUGUAAAUAGUGUCACAAUCACGUACUGUUUCUCGCAAUGUUUGUAAGUAGUUCGUACAGGUGGCCUUGUCACAUUAGCCUCUUAACUCAAAGCUAACUUAAAGAUUUAAAUGAGCACGCGGAGCUUAUAUAUUCUUGCUCGGUGCAUGUCUGUUUUGUUUCUUUAGGAGGAUCAGCUGCAAUCUUAGGCUUUACGAAUCGUGAAAGCAGAGAAGGCUUAUCCAGUAAACAAAUGUAAUGCGCACAUUUAAUGAGUGAGCUCGUAUAUGCCAUAUCAGGCGGCCACUGCCUACUACGUCGCUUUGCAUACGAAGGCGCCGCGAGAGAAACUCUUGAAGAGAGAAAUCGCCGUCGUUUUGCUCUUGCUUCCACGGAAGAGCCAGCAUUUAAAGAAGAGCGCGAUGAUAUUUUGUGCUGCCAGAACACAACUUCGCUCCCAUAUUUUUGUGCCAAUGUGCCACGCGAUCUCCGAAAGCGAAGUAAGCGAGAUAGUUCAAAGUGAAAAGUGUGCAGAGGAAAGGAUAGCAAUAUUUUUCGAGACCUUCCGACAGCUGUGGUCCAGCCACCUGUGAUUGUUUUAUUUAUUUUCUUCCCCCUACCGGUUAUCGUAAUUUGCUCGCGCGUGAUCCUUUCUUGAGAGGAGGAGGAGGUCUAUAAGAGGCUGAGGCAGCGCGCGUUUGCUCGGCCAGCGUCGAGCAGAUUCAGCGCCCUAUGGAAUACGUCGAAAUUUGCCACGAAGUGGGCUUUUGAAAAAACCCUGUGGUGUCGAGUGAUAAAAAGAAAUUUUAUGCACAUGUUGCGUGUGCGAGGUGCGCGGGAUAAGUGCGAUUGUUGUGAUUGUUGUUUUGUUUUUUUUAUGUGCCGCGCAGCUGUUUGUUAUGAUACAUAUGUUAUAAAGAGGGAAAACUCGACCAGGGGGCGCGUAGCUGUUUUCAAACGCGUGUUCAACACGCGUGUCUUGUGAUGCUCUUCCUGAGCAGAGCUUGUUUUUAUGUCAUACCAGUUGCCAAACAGCGCCUCGGAAUAAAACCUCAUAUUGUGACUGCUUUUAUGAAGCUAUAGCAGCCCUAUGCUCAGUAAUCAAGAAAAUAUGCCAGUAUUUGAUGUUAAUCCAGCCUUAACGACUUAGCAUUCCAGCUUGGAUUUAUCUGUCCUAUAAGUGACGCUACAGCAACGUUUUCAAAUUUUGGCAGACUAAUUGGCUUAUGGAAGUUUCUUUUUUUUAAUCACGGGAUCUGUGGCAGGUUUAGCAACUGGUACAGCUAUUAGGAGCUUUGCUUUCUGAGGACCACGUUUUCUGCCCGAUAACAACUGUGUCGCAGCUCGCGUGCCUGCUGUCAUGGCGAGAUGCAAAACUAUAGGAGACAAGGCUUCGGCAAUUUCACUGAAACGAAUACAGUUUUUCUGUUUUGUUCCUGUGCUCUCAUCCGGGACACAGCACGGGCUGCGAGAACAACCUGUCCAUUAUUUCGGUUGUACAUAUUCACUGCGCGCAAUGUGAUCAUCAUCAUCGUCAUAAUGUUCCACGCACCACCGCUUCACCCCUGUGUUUUGUACAUAACGCGUGAGCUUUGAGUUAUCAUGUUGUUUCGGCGGGAAAAGAAAACGCGAACGAAAGAAACAAUAAAUGGGCGUUACCAGAAA
rnacentral:misc_RNA from 1 species